GGAGUUUUGCCUCCAAGCUUACACGUUUGAAGGGUCAUUGUUGAAGACCGUGGAAGUAAUCGAUUGUCCAACAUGAAGGCCCUCCCUUCAGCGAGUCCGGACCGUCGCCAGCCAAAUUCUCUGGUCAAGCUUGGGUGAACGACGAUCGGCGAAGUCAGCGGCGAACAUCAAUAACGAUCGACGGUAAAUUGAAGCCGGCAGCGAACAUCAAUGGUCUCUCCCUCUCUCCUGUUGUCUUACUCCGAAGAUUUCAACUGUUAUUUCAGCCGCCGAUUUCGCCCUCUCUCUCUCUCUUUCUUACUUCGAACAUUUAAGCCGCGAUUUCAGUCGUGAACAAAGCUCCGGCGAUCCUGCAAACCAGAGCUGCACUUCAUCAAACUGAAGGUUUGGAUGGCUACGAAGAGGUGGAAGGCACUUCAAAUUUCAAGCAUAGGAGAUGCCUCUGAUGUGUAGCAGCAACACACCAUCUAUUAUGCAUUUAUUAUGUUUUUGUAGUGAAGCUUCACAGUCGCAACACAGCAUCUAUUAUGCCUCUAAUGUACAGCAGCAACAUAGAAUUGUCCCACUGGCUCACAAUGCAUCUAUUAUGUUUUUGUAGUGAAGCUUCACAACAAUAGUAAAGUUUAUUGUUUGCUAUAGUUAGAAUUAAUUGAGAUGAGAUUUGAAGAA